rnacentral:rRNA from 1 species
GAUGAACGCUGGCGGCGUGCCUAAUACAUGCAAGUCGAGCGAACGGACGAGAAGCUUGCUUCUCUGAUGUUAGCGGCGGACGGGUGAGUAACACGUGGAUAACCUACCUAUAAGACUGGGAUAACUUCGGGAAACCGGAGCUAAUACCGGAUGAUAUUUUGAACCGCAUGGUUCAAAAGUGAAAGACGGUCUUGCUGUCACUUAUAGAUGGAUCCGCGCUGCAUUAGCUAGUUGGUAAGGUAACGGCUUACCAAGGCAACGAUGCAUAGCCGACCUGAGAGGGUGAUCGGCCACACUGGGACUGAGACACGGUCCAGACUCCUACGGGAGGCAGCAGUAGGGAAUCUUCCGCAAUGGGCGAAAGCCUGACGGAGCAACGCCGCGUGAGUGAUGAAGGUCUUCGGAUCGUAAAACUCUGUUAUUAGGGAAGAACAUAUGUGUAAGUAACUGUGCACAUCUUGACGGUACCUAAUCAGAAAGCCACGGCUAACUACGUGCCAGCAGCCGCGGUAAUACGUAGGUGGCAAGCGUUAUCCGGGAUUUAUUGGGCGUAAAGCGCGCGUAGGCGGUUUUUUAGUCUGAUGUGAAAGCCCACGGCUCAACCGUGGAGGGUCAUUGGAAACUGGAAAACUUGAGUGCAGAAGAGGAAAGUGGAAUUCCAUGUGUAGCGGUGAAAUGCUCAGAGAUAUGGAGGAACACCAGUGGCGAAGGCGACUUUCUGGUCUGUAACUGACGCUGAUGUGCGAAAGCGUGGGGAUCAAACAGGAUUAGAUACCCUGGUAGUCCACGCCGUAAACGAUGAGUGCUAAGUGUUAGGGGGUUUCCGCCCCUUAGUGCUGCAGCUAACGCAUUAAGCACUCCGCCUGGGGAGUACGACCGCAAGGUUGAAACUCAAAGGAAUUGACGGGGACCCGCACAAGCGGUGGAGCAUGUGGUUUAAUUCGAAGCAACGCGAAGAACCUUACCAAAUCUUGACAUCCUUUGACAACUCUAGAGAUAGAGCCUUCCCCUUCGGGGGACAAAGUGACAGGUGGUGCAUGGUUGUCGUCAGCUCGUGUCGUGAGAUGUUGGGUUAAGUCCCGCAACGAGCGCAACCCUUAAGCUUAGUUGCCAUCAUUAAGUUGGGCACUCUAAGUUGACUGCCGGUGACAAACCGGAGGAAGGUGGGGAUGACGUCAAAUCAUCAUGCCCCUUAUGAUUUGGGCUACACACGUGCUACAAUGGACAAUACAAAGGGCAGCGAAACCGCGAGGUCAAGCAAAUCCCAUAAAGUUGUUCUCAGUUCGGAUUGUAGUCUGCAACUCGACUACAUGAAGCUGGAAUCGCUAGUAAUCGUAGAUCAGCAUGCUACGGUGAAUACGUUCCCNGGGUCU